UCUACAGCCAUGCUACCCUGAACAAGCCUGAUCCCGUCUGAUCUCAGAAGCUAAGCAGGGUCGGGCCUAGUUAGUACUUGGAUGGAAGACCACCUAGGAAGAGCAGGUGCUGUCAGAU
rnacentral:rRNA from 1 species